rnacentral:rRNA from 1 species
AUUGAACGCUAGCGGGAUGCUUUACUCAUGCAAGUCGAACGGAGUGGCGGACGGGUGAGUAAUCUAUCGGAACGUGCCCAGUAGCGGGGGAUAACUACCCGAAAGAGUGGCUAAUACCGCAUACUAUUUGAGCGGCCGAUAUCGGAUUAGCUAGUUGGGGGGGUAAAGUCUCACCUAGGCAACGAUCCGUAGCUGGUUUGACAGGACGACCAGCCACACUGGGACUGAUACACGGCCCAGACUACUACGCGAGGCAGCAGUGGGGAAUUUUGGACAAUGGGGGAAACCCUGAUCCAGCCAUCCCGCGUAUAUGAUGAAGGCCUUCGGGUUGUAAAGUACUUUUGGCAGAGAAGCGGUAUCUGCAGAAUAAGCACCGGCGAACUACGUGCCAGCAGCCGCGGUAAUAC